CAUGCAUUUCGAUCGUAGCUCCGUUCUGCUAAGUUGCAAUUUUGUUGGCGGAGAACUUUUUGUGUUUUUAUUUUGCUGCGAAAAUUUUAUUAUUUGCGUGAUUUUUUUUGAAAUUACUAAAAAUGUCAAAAACAACAACACCAUAGCAAUAUGGAAAAUUGACAGAUAUGAUGGAGAGUAAGCCAACGUCCUAAAGAAGAUGUGCAGGCUUUUUGGAAAGAGGUAGCAUCAAAUUUAAAUGCACUUGGUCCUCCACCAAAAGACUCAAAUGCAUGGAGAAAGGUCUGCAUUGACUGGAAGUGAUAUUUGUAUCAAACGCAAGCUAACUAGCCAUAAGAAGGAAAUGAUGAGCACAGGGCGAGGGCAAUGUCGUUCACAACGUAUAAGUCCACUUGAGGAGAAAAUUGUGCGCUUAACGGGGUUGGAAAG